UGGGGAAUAUUGCACAAUGGGGGAAACCCCGGAUGCAGCGACGCCGCGUGAAGGAAGAAGUAUCUCGGUAUGUAAACUUCUAUCAGCAGGGAAGAUAGUGACGGUACCUGACUAAGAAGCCCCGGCUAACUACGUGCC
rnacentral:rRNA from 1 species